AUUGAACGCUGGCGGCAUGCCUUACACAUGCAAGUCGAACGGCAGCACGGGUGCUUGCACCUGGUGGCGAGUGGCGAACGGGUGAGUAAUACAUCGGAACGUACCUUAUCGUGGGGGAUAACGCAGCGAAAGCUGUGCUAAUACCGCAUACGCCCUGAGGGGGAAAGCGGGGGAUCGCAAGACCUCGCGCGAUUAGAGCGGCCGAUGCCUGAUUAGCUUGUUGGGGGGGUAAAAGCCCACCAAGGCGACGAUCAGUAGCUGGUCUGAGAGGACGAUCAGCCACACUGGGACUGAGACACGGCCCAGACUCCUACGGGAGGCAGCAGUGAGGAAUUUUGGACAAUGGGGGCAACCCUGAUCCAGCAAUGCCGCGUGAGUGAAGAAGGCCUUCGGGUUGUAAAGCUCUUUUGUCAGGGAAGAAACACCGGCUCUAACACAGUCCGGGAAUGACGGUACCUGAAGAAUAAGCACCGGCUAACUACGUGCCAGCCGCCGCCGUAA
rnacentral:rRNA from 1 species